GAAGAUGAACACAAGCAUAGCGAAUUUGGUACUGGCAUAUUUGGUGAAGACGUGACAAACCCUUCAAUUAAAAAACAUUCUGGUUUAAAUGUCAUCGAGGACAUUGUAAUCCGACCAGCAAGUGUGACGAUGCCUCCACCUGUUGGGAAUGAUCAAAUCAGUAAAGAAGCUUUCGUUUUCCGUAGUUGUUGACGUAGAUUUUCACUUAUAAUUAUGGGUUAAUUGAGAGUCGUUUUUCGCGUUAAAUUAUAACUUUAAACGAAAAUCAUCAGCCUAGCUAAAUUGGUCUGAGAAUGAAAUCUUUAGCAAAAUAAUUUCACUACGCAACACAGGACUUGUGCACGGAUGGUGGCAUUGAGUCGCCGACAGUAAUUUAAAAAAAAGGAAAAGCUAAAUUACACGGUGUAGAUAAAUUUAGUCUCAGAGAGAUGAGUCGAUUAUCAGAAUUUGUCUGGUCUAUACCAAAGCGAAACCGAAAAUUUCGAACAGUCCAUACAAACCAAUUUUUUUUGCUACUACACUAUUACCCACUAUGUCAAUUCCACUCGUGCACAUUCCAAAAGUUGAAAAUGUUGCCGUCUUUACCAGAAAAAACUAAUUCAAUUCAUUUUGUGUUAGGUGAGAUCGCUUCAGCAAUUGUGUCGGGUCUAAAUGAUAUUAAGAAUAUCUUCAAACAGUCGGAGCAAAGACGUAUGAAUUAUGAAGCACGUAUGCAGACCCAAUGGGAAGUUUUUGUUAAGAAAGUGUCGCUCAACCAAGGACAAAAUGACGAUGUAGGCGAGUCGUUAGAUGUGAACGAAGAUUUUGAUGAACUCGACAAAAACUUCCCCGUAAAACGUCAACCGUCUGUUGAGCAAUUAGAUUGGUACAUCGAGAGAGAUCUACCUUUCAAACGUAGAAUGAAAAACCGAAUCGAUUUGCUUGGUGGUAGAGAUGAAAAAGAUUCAAUUCGCCGGAAAAUGAAGUACUUAAUCGCUGACACUGCAUUAGAACAUUACACAUGGAGGGGCACUGCAGACAAAAAACCGUUCCUCAAACUUACGUUUCUGAAUGACUUGAUUUUUAAAAGUGUUCGCUCGCAAUACCCCAAGUAUACCCUCAAGCAGUACAGCACUUAUAUGGUUGAGUGGUUGAAACAUGCAAAAACCCGACAACGGAAAGUUGUCUACCAAUAUCCAAACGCACGAAAAGAAGACGAUGAAGAUUUCCAUCAUUCAGAUGAUGACGGAUUCGAUCCACAAUAUUGAGCCUUCAUUUAUCAAAAACUCUAUUCCGUUCUUUUGUUUUUUUUUUAAAUUAUUUUUAUCUCAUUGAAACCCACCGAUAUGAAAACUUUUUAAGUGCAUAGGAAUGGUGGCGUAAUUCCAUUUUUUCUUCAUCUCUUAUUUGUUCAUUAAACAUUAUCUGCGUAUGUCUGAA